GAGGGUAUAGCUCAAAGUGGUAGAGCACAUGCUUAGCAUGCAUGAGGUCCUUGGGUUCAAUCCCCAGUACCUCUA
rnacentral:tRNA from 1 species